AGCGAACGCUGGCGGCAGGCUUAACACAUGCAAGUCGAGCGGGCGUAGCAAUACGUCAGCGGCAGACGGGUGAGUAACGCGUGGGAACGUACCUUUUGGUUCGGAACAACACAGGGAAACUUGUGCUAAUACCGGAUAAGCCCUUACGGGGAAAGAUUUAUCGCCGAAAGAUCGGCCCGCGUCUGAUUAGCUAGUUGGUGGGGUAACGGCUCACCAAGGCGACGAUCAGUAGCUGGGCUGAGAGGCUGAGCAGACACAUUGGGGCUGAGAAACGGCCCCAAAUCCUAGGGGAGGGCGGCAUGGGGGAUAUUGGAAGAUGGGGGGAACGCUGAAGCCGCCCGGGCGGGGUAGUGAUUAAGGGCCUAGGGUUGUAAAGCUCUUUUGUGCGGGGAGAUAAUGACGGUACCGCAAGAAUAAGCCCCGGCUAACUUCGUG
rnacentral:rRNA from 1 species